rnacentral:rRNA from 1 species
GACGAACGCUGGCGGCGUGCUUAACACAUGCAAGUCGAACGAAGAGCGAUGGAAGCUUGCUUCUAUCAAUCUUAGUGGCGAACGGGUGAGUAACGCGUAAUCAACCUGCCCUUCAGAGGGGGACAACAGUUGGAAACGACUGCUAAUACCGCAUACGAUCUGACCUCGGCAUCGAGGAUAGAUGAAAGGUGGCCUCUACAUGUAAGCUAUCACUGAAGGAGGGGAUUGCGUCUGAUUAGCUAGUUGGAGGGGUAACGGCCCACCAAGGCGAUGAUCAGUAGCCGGUCUGAGAGGAUGAACGGCCACAUUGGGACUGAGACACGGCCCAGACUCCUACGGGAGGCAGCAGUGGGGAAUCUUCCGCAAUGGACGAAAGUCUGACGGAGCAACGCCGCGUGAGUGAUGACGGCCUUCGGGUUGUAAAGCUCGGUUAAUCGGGACGAAAGGCCUUUUUGCGAAUAGUGAGAAGGAUUGACGGUACCGGAAUAGAAAGCCACGGCUAACUACGUG